UUUUAGUGGCGGACGGGUGAGUAACGCGUGGGUAACCUGCCUCACACUGGGGGAUAACACUUAGAAAUAGGUGCUAAUACCGCAUAAGCGCACGGGACUGCAUGGUCUUGUGUGAAAAACUCCGGUGGUGUGAGAUGGACCCGCGUCUGAUUAGCUGGUUGGCGGGGUAACGGCCCACCAAGGCGACGAUCAGUAGCCGGCCUGAGAGGGUGGGCGGCCACAUUGGGACUGAGACACGGCCCAAACUCCUACGGAAGGCAGCAG
rnacentral:rRNA from 1 species